UACGGGGGGAGCAAGCGUUGUUCGGAUUUACUGGGCGUAAAGGGCGCGUAGGCGGCCUGUGCAAGUCAGUUGUGAAAUCUCCGAGCUUAACUCGGAACGGUCAACUGAUACUGCUCGGCUAGAGUGCGGAAGGGGCAACUGGAAUUCUUGGUGUAGCGGUGAAAUGCGUAGAUAUCAAGAGGAACACCUGCGGCGAAGGCGGGUUGCUGGGCCGACACUGACGCUGAUGACGGCGAAAGCUAGGGGAGCGAACGGG
rnacentral:rRNA from 1 species